AGGGAAGGGGAGAUAUGAUAUACAAUUACUUUAUCAUUUCAGGGACAUAAAAACUAUAUACAAUAAAAAAGAAUGAAGGGAUUAAUUUGGCUAGAAAUUCAAAGGUGCAGUGCAUCAUCAAGGCAGAGAGGUCAUGGACUCAGAAAUCUCAGGCACUUGGCCACUCAUGAAACUGUGGUCAGGAAGUCGUGACACCGAAAUGAUUUAUUGUGUUUUGCUAUCUUACUUCUCUUUUUUCAGUGUGGGAGCCUAUCUGAUAAAGUCAUUUCUCGCACAGUGAGAGGAGCAUUGGAUCAUCAGAGAUUCAUGUUCUGUAGUACCAGGAAGCAUUUGUUAACUCCGAAAGACCAAUUAGGUGCCGAUCCGAUCUGAUACAAUCACACAAGAGUCUUUAUUCACAAGUUCAAACUCGGGCUUAAGUCAUGCUGACACACAGGAUGGUUUCGGUGGAUAAAAGCCCCAAACACUCCUCAGGACAAGAUUUUAUAGGAAAUAUCAAGAGAAGGCAGCCAGAAUCUAGCACUUCAGAAACAAAGUACCAGAGAAACAAAUGGGCAGCAAACAUCAACUCUGAAAUACAUUGUCUCUGAUCUAUUCAGCUUGGAUAGUGAAUUUCUUUCCAUAAAUAGUUAAUAAGAUAUCAGCUCUAAUGACAAGAAUAAACUGUUAAACCAAUUCAUUUAGAUUAAAAUAUUUGGUGCACAAUUUAAAAAGAAAGGUCAUGGGGAGGAAUAUCCAGAGGAUGAUACU